GCCCCCGUAGCUCAGCUUGGAUAGAGCGGCACCCUUCUAAGGUGACGGUCGCGGGUUCAAAUCCCGCCGGGGGCG
rnacentral:tRNA from 1 species